AUAAAUAUGAUUUUUAGAAAGUUUCCUUGGCAAAAAGCACAAGGAUCAAUUCAAUGAGUUAAAGAGACAACAAACACAACACAUCCAUAUAUAAUUUCAUUCUUGCAUUCAUGACGAUGACUGUCCAUAUGAUUAUUGUACCCCUCCUAAAUAUUCAAAGUGUAUUUGGAGUAGUUGUUAUUGUAAAGAUUUUAAUGAAUAAUAGUUAAGUUGAAAAA